rnacentral:misc_RNA from 1 species
GAUGAAGAACGUAGUGAAAUGCGAUACUUGGUGUGAAUUGCAGAAUCCCGUGAACCAUCGAGUCUUUGAACGCAAGUUGCGCCCGAAGCCACUAGGCCGAGGGCACGCCUGCCUGGGCGUCACACACCGUUGCCCCCCCAUCUACUCCUUCGGGAUUGCGGGGGGGCGGAUGAUGGCCUCCUGUGCGCCUAGCCGCGCGGUUGGCAUAAAUACCAAGUCCUCGGCGACGCACGCCACGACAAUCGGUGGUUGCGAAACCUCGGUUGCCCGUCGUGUGCGUUCGUCGCGCAUCGAGGGCUCGAAAAAAUGCUCGGCUCCGGCUGGGCUUUCAACGCGACCCCAGGUCAGGCGGGGUUACCCGCUGAAUUUAAGCAUAUCAAUAAGCGGAGGA